rnacentral:rRNA from 1 species
CCUACGGGGGGCUGCAGUGGGGAAUAUUGGACAAUGGGCGAAAGCCUGAUCCAGCCAUGCCGCGUGGGUGAAGAAGGCCUUAGGGUUGUAAACCCCUUUCAGCGGGGAAGAUAAUGACGGUACCCGCAGAAGAAGCCCCGGCUAACUCCGUGCCAGCAGCCGCGGUAAUACGGAGGGGGCUAGCGUUGUUCGGAAUUACUGGGCGUAAAGCGCGCGUAGGCGGACUUUCAAGUCAGGGGUGAAAUCCCGAGGCUCAACCUCGGAACUGCCUCUGAUACUGUAAGUCUUGAGUCCGAGAGAGGUGAGUGGAAUUCCUAGUGUAGAGGUGAAAUUCGUAGAUAUUAGGAAGAACACCAGUGGCGAAGGCGGCUCACUGGCUCGGUACUGACGCUGAGGCGCGAAAGCGUGGGGAGCAAACAGGAUUAGAUACCCCUGUAGUCU